UACGUAGGGUGCAAGCGUUGUCCGGAAUUAUUGGGCGUAGAGAGCUCGUAGGCGGUUUGUUGCGUCGGCUGUGAAAUCCCGAGGCUCAACCUCGGGUCUGCAGUCGAUACGAGCAAACUAGAGUGUUGCAGGGGAGACUGGAAUUCCUGGUGUAGCGGUGAAAUGCGUAGAUAUCUGGAGGAAUACCGGUGGCGAAGGCGGCAUCCUGGACCGACAUUGACGCUGAUGAGCGAAAGCUAGGGGAGCAAACGGG
rnacentral:rRNA from 1 species